rnacentral:snoRNA from 1 species
CGCCUCUCAGAGUCGCACCUGGAGAGUUUCCAGUACUCUACCAGUCUCGGUUAUGGGAGGCAGAGUCAAGUAGAGGCCUGUCCAUUCCAUUCCUAGUUGGCCAGUGGCUAGCGAGUGGAAGGCAAUCUGCUACAAGU